rnacentral:rRNA from 1 species
CACGUAGGGUGCGAGCGUUGUCCGGAAUUAUUGGGCGUAAAGAGCUCGUAGGCGGUGUGUCGCGUCGGCCGUGAAAACCCGAGGCUCAACCUCGGGCCUGCAGUGGGUACGGGCAGACUAGAGUGCGGUAGGGGAGAUUGGAAUUCCUGGUGUAGCGGUGGAAUGCGCAGAUAUCAGGAGGAACACCAAUGGCGAAGGCAGAUCUCUGGGCCGUAACUGACGCUGAGGAGCGAAAGCAUGGGGAGCGAACAGG